GCCUGGGUGGCUCAGUUGGUUAAGCAGCUGACUUCAGCUCAGGUCAUGAUUUUGGGCUCCAUGGGUUCAAGCCCCAUGUCAGGCU
rnacentral:tRNA from 1 species